UGGGCAAUCUGUGCCUGUACAGGUGCUGAGAGGACAUAGAAGGAAACGCCACGUUCGAGUGGAAUUGGGGCUGCUCUACUGUUAUCGACAUUGGACUAUGAAGCUUCGGAAGCAGGACUACAUGAUCAGGAACGACAGGAUCGCUAGUCCAGGCAGCGGGACUCCAUCAUAAUGAUUCCAUCACUGGCCUACUGACAGACGCAGCAGUGGCUGCCCGGCCUUCUUGAUGCACGAGCUGAACGGCAGUAUGGGGAAGAUCUAGGUCCACCACGCUUUCCAGGCAUCAAAAAGAGUUUAGGAGAAUAGGAAAAAUAAUAGAAAAUAAUAAGUUAUAAACAUAAUCCAUGCAUGGCUGGUACACUUUUGUGCUAAACUAUUUCCUGGAGAUCCUUCACUAUUGCUCAAGCCACCAAAUUUUGUGAGGGCAUUGUAUUAUCAAUACAAGUAGAUCUACAUCAAAAUUGGAGGUAUAAAGAAUCAAAAAGAGGUUGAUGGUAGAAGAGAAAGAAGAAAGGAGUGUAUCUUCCUGUGAUAAUGGCAGACUCACAUUACUGAGAUAUGCGUGUUCUUCAUUCUCUCAUUUGUGUUCUACUUGGUUGCUAUACAAUUCCAUUCCCGGUUCCCAAAAUUACACUUCCAAUCAUCAAUUAGGGACAUAAUGUCAGGGCAAGGCUGGAAGUGGUACAAGAACAGUAAAUAGUAAUGUAUUUUCACUUUUGUUAGCAAUUUUCACAUUUUUAUUAAGUGAUU